rnacentral:rRNA from 1 species
UUGACCUCGGAUCAGGCAGGGAUACCCGCUGAACUUAAGCAUAUCAAUAAGCGGAGGAAAAGAAACCAACAGGGAUUGCCUCAGUAACGGCGAGUGAAGCGGCAACAGCUCAAAUUUGAAAUCUGGCUCUUUUAGGGUCCGAGUUGUAAUUUGUAGAGGAUGCUUCGGCGUCGGCUCCGGUCUAAGUUCCUUGGAACAGGACGUCAUAGAGGGUGAGAAUCCCGUAUGUGAUCGGUUGCCUUGCCAUGUGAAGCUCCUUCGACGAGUCGAGUGUUUGGAAUGCAGCUCUAAUGGAGGUAAAUUUCUUCUAAGCUAAUACUGCC